rnacentral:rRNA from 7 species
GUACAAGGUUUCCGUAGGUGAACCUGCGGAAGGAUCAUUA